rnacentral:rRNA from 1 species
GUUAUGGGAUCAAGCGAAUAAGUGCAUGUGGUGGAUGCCUUGGCGAUUACAGGCGAUGAAGGGCGUGGAAGCCUGCGAAAAGCUCCGGGGAGCUGGCAAACAAGCUUUGAUCCGGAGAUGUCCGAAUGGGGAAACCCGGCCCGCAAGGGUCAACCUUGACUGAAUACAUAGGUCAUGUGUAGCGAACCUGGCGAACUGAAACAUCUAAGUAGCCAGAGGAAAAGAAAUCAACCGAGAUUCCCAGAGUAGUGGCGAGCGAAAUGGGAUCAGCCUCCAACUUUUAGCACUUGAAUUAGCCGAGCCGUCUGGAAAGUCGGGCCAUAGUGGGUGAUAGCCCCGUAGGCGAAAAUUUAAGUGUGGAACUAGGGUUGGAACAAGUAGGGCGGGACACGAGAAAUCCUGUUUGAAUAUGGGGGGACCAUCCUCCAAGGCUAAAUACUCGUAAUCGACCGAUAGUGAACCAGUACCGUGAGGGAAAGGCGAAAAGAACCCCGG